CAGUAGCCGCGGGAAUACGUAGGGUGCAAGCGUUAAUCGGAAUUACUGGGCGUAAAGCGCGCGCAGGCGGUUCCGCAAGUCAGAUGUGAAAUCCCCGGGCUCAACCUGGGAACUGCAUUUGAAACUACGGGGCUAGAGUGUGUCAGAGGGGGGUGGAAUUCCACGUGUAGCAGUGAAAUGCGUAGAGAUGUGGAGGAACACCAAUGGCGAAGGCAGCCCCCUGGGAUGACACUGACGCUCAUGCACGAAAGCGUGGGGAGCAAACAGGAUUAGAUACCCCAGUAGUCCCUGUCUCUUAUAA
rnacentral:rRNA from 1 species